AAACAAAAAACAUUUUUUUACUGUUACAUUCUAUAAAAAUACAAUAUCAUUUUUGAAUUUUUGUCACGAUCUAUAAGAAUAUAAGAUUUAUAGUAAGUCAUUCUUAAAGACUGAAACUAAGAAUGGUUAAAAAAACAUCAAAAUCUAACAAAAACACUAAUUCAUUCUUAAAGAAUAUUAUUGCUAAGAAUCACAUCAAAUUUUGUGGUAAAUAUUCUAAAUAUUCUGACAGAACAUAUUUGCCUAGAAUACACUUUCAAUCCAUUUUCUUUCUGUUCCACAUCAAUAACAAUUCAAAACCUAAACCACAAAAAAAAUAUAAUCAACUUUCAAAUAUUUAAAAUUUCAUCACAUAUAUGAAACUAAACAUUAUCUUUUCCUUUGGCUUCAUGAACUUCUUGCUUCAUUAUCAACAUCCUUGAAUUUAUCAUCCACUUAAUCAAAAAUGUUAAAUAUUCCAUCAUCUUCCUCGUGCAUAUAGUUAGUCACAACAGAUGUUUGAUUAACAAUUCUACAAUAAAGUAAUAAUAAAAUUAACAAAAAUUUUUAUGCAGGUUUUGUAAUACACGAAAUGAACAUUAAUAUAUAAAAAAAUUACAUUGUAAACACAAAUUCCAAUUAACUUAAUUAAGAAUAGAAAAUAAACACAAAAUAAAAAGGUUUUGAUUUUGUGGAAUAUGCAGUGAAGGUUUAUUAUCAUUGAAAACAUAGUGCAUUGUAAAUAAAAUUACAAACACCCAAAGAAACCAUCUACAUACUUAGUGAUUUGAGGGUAUGUGGAAUGAUGGCUAAGAAUCUGACGGAAUCUAAACCCAUUUCACAUAAUCCCAAAUCAUUUUUAACCAACGACAAAAUGGAAUAAAAUUCAAGUACAAUUUCACCAAAUCCCAUGGAAUCUGGCACCCCCUGUAAGAUGCACAUCAAAAUAGGAACCGAAACAAAAAAUUACCUGUAAGAUGCAUUUGCAUUUGUAUCACCAUUUCCAGUAACAGAUUUGAGUAAAAAGUAUGUUAAGCACACAUACAUGUUCUAAAAAACACCAAAUUUUGUUGAAAAUUAUUCUUUGGCAUUACAUUGAACACUUGGAAGGCACACUGAAAUGACCCUUACCAUUUACCAAUUUCCAAUAAUAAGGAUUCCCCAUAUGAAUUAAAUCUUAUUAACGAUUGCAUAUGAGAUUGAUAAUGAAAAAAGGAACAACAUUUAUGGAAACCCAUUGGAAUUUCAAAUCAAAACUGAAUGGGGUAAUCGAUUGCAUAUUGGAAUCGAUGAGAAUGUGUAUUUGUAAGAAAGAAGGAGAGAGACAGUGAGGGACGUCAUACCGUAGGGUUUUGGUGAUGAAAAUUCGAGCAGGUGGAAGAAAUUCGUUCCUUCUCUCUGUAUUAAGGGCAUCGAUAGUGUGUGAAGAUAAUGAAGCGGAUAUGAACGAUUGCACAGGGUUAAUCAGAUUUUAUUGUAACUGUACAUUGAACGCACGUCGAUUGAACGAGCCCUGGAGGGUUGGUUCCCGAUUCUGAUUUCGAUUUUGAAGUUGUUCCAUCCAACGAUCAUGUCAUCUUCGAACGUGGGUGGGUUAGGAUUGAUUGCCGGAUAAGAGAUUAAGAUGCGUAUAAUUGCAGAAGUGGGAGGGAUAUGAUUUUGUGGGUGGUGAAGAUGGAAGAGGCAAUAGGUUUUAAAUAGAGUAAUUUGC
rnacentral:lncRNA from 1 species